AUUGAACGCUGGCGGCAUGCCUUACACAUGCAAGUCGAACGGUAACAGGUUAAGCUGACGAGUGGCGAACGGGUGAGUAAUAUAUCGGAACGUGCCCAGUCGUGGGGGAUAACGUAGCGAAAGCUACGCUAAUACCGCAUACGAUCUACGGAUGAAAGCGGGGGAUCGCAAGACCUCGCGCGAUUGGAGCGGCCGAUAUCAGAUUAGGUUGUUGGUGAGGUAAAAGCUCACCAAGCCCGCGAUCUGUAGCUGGUCUGAGAGGACGACAGCCACACUGGAACUGAGACACGGUCCAGACUCCUACGGGAGGCAGCAGUGGGGAAUUUUGGACAAUGGACGCAAGUCUGAUCCAGCAAUGCCGCGUGCAGGACGAAGGCCUUCGGGUUGUAAACUGCUUUUGUACGGAACGAAACGGUGAGCUCUAAUACAGUUUGCUAAUGACGGUACCGUAAGAAUAAGCACCGGCUAACUACGUGCCAGCAGCCGCGGUAA
rnacentral:rRNA from 1 species